rnacentral:lncRNA from 1 species
AUGUGGUAUUUGACGGAGCCGAAUUUAAUGGUUUUAUAUACAUAUAUAUAUAUACAUAUACUUAAUAUUGGAUUUUUGAGUUAAGUUAGAGUGUACUUGACAAGAUGAAAAUGUAACGCUGUAGACUUAAAUAUUUUCUGUUCGAAUCUCUACAUUUUCUUUAACGAUUCUUCGGAGAUGCAUCUCGAGUGAAGAGAAAAAUGUGGACUCUUUCUCUCUGCACAUGCACCAGGAAGUCGCAUCAAGUGCACCAAAAACUGUGGUCAAACAAUAAAGAAUAGAAAAAUGACAAUAUGUAUGCUCAGUGCUUAACAUGAUUGACGGUUAUGUUAAGGAGAUCUCUACUUCAGCAUUCUGAAAAGUGUAAAAACGGCAAAAUGUGUAUGUGUUUCCUUGAUUAAUUCCAACAAACUGCGGUUACAAUCUUAAAAAAAAAUGAUUGUUAUUUUACUAAAUUUCAUUGUUAAUCAUUAAAAAAAAUAAUAAUUCAAUUAAAUUGAUUAAAAAAUAUAUAUAAGUUAUAAUAAAAGUAUUAACAACAACAACGUACUGGCAAGAUUUUACUCUGAAUGCUGUCAUACAGUGUUUGGUAUAAAUUUAGUUUUUAUGUUACUGUUUACAGUUUUAACCAGUCUGUUUACGUGACUGAUAUAUAUAUUAUAAUUGAAAACUUUAGCAAGAACAUGAACAUUUCGCCUAUCACGGCAUUUGUGUUCGUCUUAAAGACAACGUUAACUGUAUCAGCUCGAACGAGUGGCAGCAGCCAGAAUAAAAUCUAGCCUUGAAAUAUUGUAUAAUUUUUUUUUCUCUUGAUAAAAAUUGAAAUUUAUAACGAAAUUUUAACUUAUAAAAUUCAAUCGAUCGUCAUAUAAUUGUAUUAAAAAUUGCUUAUGGCUUUAACCGCAAAAAGAAAUAGAAAAAAAAAAUAAAACAAAUUUUAAAUAUAUAGGCCUAUAUAUAUUUAAAAAAUUAAAAAAAAUGAUAUAUAGUAGUAUAUUUAUGGAAAUAUAAAAAUGUAA